CCUCCUUCCCCCAAAUCCAAGGAAGGGAAACUCACAGUGAACACCUGGUACUCCUUGGGCAAUUCCCAUGUAUGAUGUCAUGUAACCCCUCCCAGCUGCCCUUCAGCGCAGCGUUCCGCUCCGCCAGGUCCCGGAUCUGCUCCUUCAGCACCUCCACCUCCUCCCGGACCGCAAACAUGAGGCUUCCGGAGCCACUGGAGAGACACAGGGAGACGAGAGCAUUUCAAGGGACCAGGACUCUGGCAAACCAAGCCCUCCCUUUGAGAACCUCCGAGUGAGGGACCGCUGGCACUGUGCUGGAAUUCCUGAACAGGGUCUGGAGUGGGAAGUUUGAAGUUGAUUGGAUGGGCUCAGGCUUCACCACAAGCCCCUAAAGCAACUUUGUGUGAGUCAGAAUAAAAUCUUUCAAGACGCUUAUCGCCAUCUUCUCGAAAACUGUUAUGACUUCAAGCGUGAGUGGCGCCCCCUGGAGUUGUGCAGCACAUAACAGGGGACUCUGGCCCUGCGGGACUCUCAGGUCCUGGGGCAAGGAUAGCGGUAGAGGCUAGUCCUCCUUUUUGAAGGUCAAACAAAACAGCCUCAAAGUGAGGAUCGGAGGAAGAAACUGGACAUCUAGGAGAGUGGUGGUGGGGGGCGGUUUCCGAUGCUGAGGACAAGGGCCAACCCUGCUUCCUCAACAUGUUUUGAGGAGCCCCUAGGGGCUAGGCCAGAGGCCAAUGAAGUGGCAUCCGGCUGCCCUGGCUAUACUCCCUCCCAGAUCUGUGGUGCCUCUGGGGUGGGGCCAGGCCAGGGAGCGGAGGAUGGCUCCUCGCCCGGAUUGGGAGAGCCGUCUCUGCCUCUGUCCUGGAGAGAAAGUGCAUCCCAGAGAUGGCUGUCUCCGCCUCUCCUCUUGGGACACAGGCAUUUCAGUAGGAGAAUGGAGAGAAAAAGGCUUUGGGGGCCGACCCAGGCUCUGACAGCAGGCCUGCCACUUACUAGCGGGGUGACUUUGGACAAGUUUCUAAAACCUUCCUCCUCCAAGUCUCAGUUUUCUUCAUCUAGUAAGAGGGACCAUGGAGUUGCUCUUAGAAUUAUGUGAGAUAAGAAGUAGCAUCUGACCCCAAGGAAGCAGUAGAUAAACAAAUGCACCAUUUCUUUCCUGAGUUCCUAGAAUUUAUUUCUUGUAAUACUCAGAUCCCCCAUGCUGGCCAUCUACCCAACCAUCCACCUAUCCCCUCAUCCAUUUAUUCAAGUACUCUUCAACCUCCAGGCCCUGUUGGAGGCCGGAAGGUUCUUGCAACUCAGGAGCACGUGAACAGUUUGAUUUCAUCAUGCACCCUCUGUUCUCCCAUCCCCAGAUUUCUAGAAUGGUCAGGCACCCCCAACUCCCCACCUGGGAUUCAGGCACUUAAUAUGCCAGCCCACUCUCCCUAAUCAAAAGGGAGGUCCCAUGCCACUCAUAUACCCUGUUCUGCCAGCUCCAGGCACACCAGAGAAAUGAGGUGGGGGCUACACGCCCCAUUCCAGGGGGCCAAGGAGGUAGCCCAACCCAAACCCGCUGGCCCAGCAGGGUGGAGCAGGAGGGGCUGGGCUGGGCCCGAGCCCCAGAGGCUUGGAGCUCAGCAGGGUAAAAUGGAGGCUGGGAGGCAGACCGGUCAGACUCGGUCAGACUGGGGUGUCUGAGGGGGUGGGACAGUGGGAGGAAGGGAGGGAGGAAGCCCAAAAGAAUAGAGCUCAGGAGGCUUCUGGAAGCAGAACUUGCUAAGAGAAAGUAGGAGGCUGGCCUCUGAAAUCAACAGAGGUGGAGGAGGGGAGGGAGCCCUUCAUGCCAGCAAACCUCCCAAGUGGGAGUGGGAGGGGGAGCGGGUAGGAAGCACAGAGAAUAGCAUCCAUGGGGGCAGGUGACUCUCCUGCUGACCUCGAACCUCACUCAUUCCCUAGAGCAGGGAACCCAGAGGCGGCCCGGCCCACCCCUGCUCUGUCCCUCAUUC